rnacentral:tRNA from 1 species
GCCCGGAUUGGACAAUGGUCGUCCGCGCGGCUCGAACCCGCGUUUCCGCAAGGAUUUCCCGGUUCGAUUCCGGGUCCGGGCG